rnacentral:rRNA from 1 species
UUUAACGGCCGCGGUAUCCUGACCGUGCAAAGGUAGCGCAAUCACUAGCCUCUUAAUUGGGGGCCCGUAUGAAUGGCUAAACGAGGGCUCGACUGUCUCCUUACCCCAGUCAAUGAAACUGAUCUCCCCGUGCAGAAGCGGGGAAUGCCCCGACAAGACGAGAAGACCCCAUGAAGCUUUAGACACCCUGAACCAGGGACUGUUGCCUCUCUAGCCACAUAAGCACCUCACCCACCCCUUUUGAACGUGUCUUCGGUUGGGGCGACCUAGGAGGAAAAUCAAGCCUCCUUGUGACAAGGGGCAAAACCCCUACCGUCCAGAGUCGCCCCUCUAAGCAGCACAACCUUGACCUCAUAGACCCGGUAAUGCCGAUCAACGGAACGAGUUACUCUGGGGAUAACAGCGCAAUCCCCUCUCAGAGCCCGUAUCGAGGAGGGGGUUUACGACCUCGAUGUUGGAUCAGGACAUCCUAAUGGUGUAGCCGCUAUUAA